GGCCUAUUGAUUAUAAUUUUAGGUCUGACCUGCCCAAUGAUAGAUUUAAUGGCCGCGGUAUACUGACCGUGCAAAGGUAGCAUAAUCAUUAGUUUUUUAAUUGGAAGCUGGAAUGAAAGGUUUGAUGAGAAAGGAUCUGUCUCUUGAAAAAUUUUUUAGAAUUUUAUUUUUAAGUGAAAAAGCUUAAAUAUUAAUGGAAGACGAGAAGACCCUUUAGAGUUUGAUAUUGCAAAAAUUGAAGUAAUUAGGCUUUUAGAUUAUUUGAAUUUGAGAAAUAUUUUGCUGGGGUGGUGGAAAAAUUAGUAAAACUUUUUUUAUUGGCUAAUCAUUGAUUUAUGAGUAGAUGAUCCUUUUUUGAAGAUUAAAAGAAUAAAUUACCUAAGGGAUAACAGCGUAAUUUUUUUUAGAGUUCUAAUCGAAUGAAAAGGUUGCGACCUCGAUGUUGGAUUAAAAUUUAUAAUUGGUGCAGAAGCUGAUUAAUUGGGUCUGUUCGACCCUUAAAAUUUUACAUGAUCUGAGUUUAAACCGGCGUGAG
rnacentral:rRNA from 1 species